UACGGAGGAUGCGAGCGUUAUCCGGAUUUAUUGGGUUUAAAGGGUGCGUAGGCGGGCUUUUAAGUCAGCGGUAAAAAUUCGGGGCUAACCCCGUCCGGCCGUUGAAACUGGGGGCCUUGAGUGGGCGAGAAGAAGGCGGAAUGCGUGGUGUAGCGGUGAAAUGCAUAGAUAUCACGCAGAACCCCGAUUGCGAAGGCAGCCUUCCGGCGCCCUACUGACGCUGAGGCACGAAAGUGCGGGGAUCGAACAGG
rnacentral:rRNA from 1 species